GAUGAACGCUGGCGGCGUGCCUAAUACAUGCAAGUCGAGCGAACAGAUGAGGAGCUUGCUCCUCUGACGUUAGCGGCGGACGGGUGAGUAACACGUGGAUAACCUACCUAUAAGACUGGGAUAACUUCGGGAAACCGGAGCUAAUACCGGAUAAUAUAUUGAACCGCAUGGUUCAAUAGUGAAAGACGGUUUUGCUGUCACUUAUAGAUGGAUCCGCGCCGCAUUAGCGAGUUGGUACGUUAACGGCUUACCAAGGCAACGAUGCGUAGCCGACCUGAGAGGGUGAUCGGCCACACUGGAACUGAGACACGGUCCAGACUCCUACGGGAGGCAGCAGUAGGGAAUCUUCCGCAAUGGGCGAAAGCCUGACGGAGCAACGCCGCGUGAGUGAUGAAGGUCUUCGGAUCGUAAAACUCUGUUAUUAGGGAAGAACAAAUGUGUAAGUAACUAUGCACGUCUUGACGGUACUUAAUCAGAAAGCCACGGCUAACUACGUG
rnacentral:rRNA from 1 species